GACGAACCGUGCGAACGUUAUUCGGAAUCACUGGGCUUAAAGGGUGCGUAGGCGGGUUGCCAAGUCUGUGGUGAAAUCCUCCGGCUUAACCGGAGAACUGCCGUGGAUACUGGCGACCUCGAGGGGUGUGAGGGCUUGCGGAACUGUGCGUGGAGCGGUGAAAUGCGUUGAUAUGCACAGGAACUCCGGUGGCGAAAGCGGCGAGCUGGACACCUUCUGACGCUGAGGCACGAAAGCCAGGGGAGCGAACGGG
rnacentral:rRNA from 1 species